rnacentral:rRNA from 1 species
CACAGGGAUUGCCUCAGUAACGGCGAGUGAAGCGGCAACAGCUCAAAUUUGAAAGCUGGCUCUGUUGCAGGGCCCGCGUUGUAAUUUGUAGAGGAUGCUUCGGGCGCGGCGCUGGUCUAAGUUCUUUGGAACAAGACGUCAUAGAGGGUGAGAAUCCCGUAUGUGACUAGCUUGCCUGUGCCUGUGUGAAGCUCCUUCGACGAGUCGAGUUGUUUGGGAAUGCAGCUCAAAAUGGGUGGUGUACUUCAUCUAAAGCUAAAUAUUGGCCAGAGACCGAUAGCGCACAAGUAGAGUGAUCGAAAGAUGAAAAGCACUUUGGAAAGAGAGUUAAACAGUACGUGAAAUUGUUGAAAGGGAAGCGCUUGCAAUCAGACUUGGGCGGCGGCGAUCAGCCUGGGGUUCGCCCCCGGGUGCACUCGGCGCCGCGCAGGCCAGCAUCAGUUUUGGCGGUUGGAUAAAGGCCUAGGGAACGUGGGUUACUUCGGUGACUGUUAUAGCCCUAGGUGCAAUGCAGCCUGCUGGGACUGAGGACCGCGCUUCGGCUAGGAUGCUGGCGUAAUGGUUGUAAGCGACCCGUCUUGAAACACGGACCAAGGAGUCUAACAUCUAUGCGAGUUUUUGGGUGUCAAACCCAUGAGCGGAAUGAAAGUGAACGGAGGUGAGAACCCAGUAGGGUGCAUCAUCGACCGAUCCUGAAGUCUUCGGAUGGAUUUGAGUAAGAGCAUAGCUGUUGGGACCCGAAAGAUGAUGAUCUAUACCUGAAUAGGGUGAAGCCAGAGGAAACUCUGGUGGAGGCUCGCAGCGGUUCUGACGUGCAAAUCGAUCGUCAAAUUUGGGUAUAGGGGCGAAAGACUAAUCGAAUCAUCUAGUAGCUGGUUCACG